rnacentral:rRNA from 1 species
CCUACGGGUGGCUGCAGUGGGGAAUAUUGCACAAUGGGGGGAACCCUGAUGCAGCGACGCCGCGUGAGUGAUGGAGUACUUCGGUAUGUAAAGCUCUGUCAGCAGGGAAGAAAAUGACGGUAUCUGACCAAGAAGCCCCGGCUAAAUACGUGCCAGCAGCCGCGGUAAGACGUAGGGGGCACGCGUGAUCCGGAUUUACUGGGUGUAAAGGGAGCGUAGGCGGCUGGGCAAGCCUGAUGUGAAAGCCCGGGGCUCAACCCGGGGACUGCAUUGGGAACUGCACUGCUGGAGUGCCGGAGGGGGAGGCGGAAUUCCUGGUGUAGCGGUGAAAUGCGUAGAUAUUAGGAGGAACACCAGUGGCGAAGGCGGCCUGCUGGACGGUGACUGACGCUGAGGCUCGAAAGCGUGGGGAGCAAACAGGAUUAGAUACCCCAGUAGUC